GCAUUGCUGAGGAGUCCCUUUACUAGGACGAAACGGCCGUCCAGUGC
rfam:Schistosoma curassoni strain Dakar, Senegal genome assembly, scaffold: SCTD_contig0004845